GCGGGUAAGACUAUGAAUGUUUUACUUUACUUGGCAAGGGAGCUUUGCAGGUGUAAUCAAAGGUAUGGACCUUGAGGUCAGGAGAUUAUCUUUGGUUAAUCACACAGACACAGUGAAUCACGUGAGUCCUAAAAAGGGAAGAAACUUUCCUGGGUGAGUCAGAAAUAUGAAAUGGAAGGGGAAGGAGGUGAGAUUUGAAGGACUCAACUUGUCCUCGCUGGCUCUGAAGGUCAGGGAGGGGGCCAUGAUCCGAGGAAUGUGGUGGCCUCUAGAAGUUGGGAAUGGGCCUCAGUUUACAGGAAGCAAGAAGGCAAGACUUCAGUCCUCCUUCCAUCACAGAGAACUAAAUUCUGCAAGUAACCCAAAUGAGCAAGGAACAGAUUUUCCCUUAAAAUGUCCAGAAGAGAAAUACAGCCUGCAGAUACCUGGUUUGUAGUCUGGGCUGCCUUUAAAUCUUGACCACAAAUUUUCCACGAAGAAGUAGAGGCAAUGUGAUAUGAAGAAUGGAGUAAAUGGGAUGCUCUGAAAAGUUGAUUCAUUUUGAACACCAAGCUAAGGAUCUGGUGAAUUUGGUACUGUGAUGGAUCAUGAAAAGAGAGCCUUUCCCCCUUCUCCUUGAAUUGAGUUCAUCUUGAUAUAUUUUGGUGACAGAAUGUGGUGGAAGUGAUGCUGUGUAAUGAUACCUCUUGGAACUCUAUAAGAAGCCCAAGAAACAUGAAGAGAUCUUGUGGAGGAGGACCCAGGUGCUCAGUCACAGACCCCAGCUGAGCCUCCAGCGGUGUGUGAGUGAGCCAUCUUGGAUUCCAGCCCAGGCCAGUCCCUGGAGAGCAGCCCCAGCUGACAGCAUGUGGAGUGGAGGAACCGCUUAGCUGAGGCAAUUAACUCACAGUAUCUUUAAGGAGAAAAUGAUGACUGUGGUUGUUCUAAACACUGAGUUUGGAGUGCUCUGUUAUGUAUCAAACCCCAUAGAGACAUGAAUACUCUACAAGUUUGCUUUGCAUCCAAUGGCAUUGAUUUGUAAGAUGGCUGGCAGUGGAGUAGCUAUGUUUCUGAAAUAUUUUUUCUUAAAUGUAAUUGCUGAGAGUGGAUAAAAAUCAAAGUUGGGGCCAUGAUGGGAAGAGCUCCAUGCAUACUUAAAUCACUGGAAAACGGGUGAAGAAGAAUGCUGUGGAGACAGUGAGCGGUGCUGGGGAAGAGGUGUCUGUGUGGGGGAGGGCUGCGGCAGUAUUACGUGGUCACUGUCAUGGCUAGUAUGCCCUGGGCGAAGUUCCUGGACUUCCAACUUCUGCCCAGAUUUUUUGAGUUGCCUGAGUAGAUCUUCAUUCUUUUAUUAUUUUCAUAUUGAAUUUGAAGCUCUUUUACAUAAACGUAAUUUUCUUCAGCAUCUGUUGAUUUUUUUGGACCGUGAAAUUUAGCAGGAUAUUAAAAGCAUGAAGACUUACAUGGCAUAAUGCUGAGUUAUGCAAGUUUGAAAUAAAACUUUAUCUAAUUCUAUCACAGAAGUCUGUGUUUUAGAAGCAUAAGGCCUGCCAAACUCACAUAACUUACAUUUACAUUUGUGAAUGCCACCUCAUUCUCCUCCCAAGAUGCUUCUUUGUGCACCAGUGUGGUGGGCCAGUAGAAAAUGCAUUUGCCAAGAGCCUGGGUCAGGUGCCAGCUGCUUUUGGGCUCCUCUGAUAGCCAUGUCC